UACGUAGGGGGCAAGCGUUGUCCGGAUUUAUUGGGCGUAAAGCGUGCGUAGGCGGCGGGGUAAGUGAGGUGUGAAAUCCCGGAGCUUAACUCCGGAACUGCACUUUAUACUGCCUUGCUCGAGGGCUGGAGAGGAGACUGGAAUUUACGGUGUAGCAGUGAAAUGCGUAGAGAUCGUAAGGAAGACCAGUGGCGAAGGCGAGUCUCUGGAAAGCUGCUGACGCUGAGGCACGAAGGCCAGGGGAGCAAACGGG
rnacentral:rRNA from 1 species